UGGGAAAGCAUGUGGGACUUCCAAAACAACCAGGAGGUUGGCUUAGAAGCAGCCAUCCUUUAAAGAUAGCGUAACAGCUCACUGGUCUAGUUAAGAGGUCCUGCGGCGAAGAUGUAACGGGGCUCAAGCCACGAGCCGAAGCUUUGGAUGUGUACCGCAAGGUGCACGUGGUAGCGGAGCGUUCUGUGAUAUAGAACGCUGCCUCUUUUGCCUCCUCGGAGGUAACGGAGGCAAUGUUCUGACUGUGAAGCCGGGCUGUAAGGCAUCCGGUGGAGUGAUCAGAAGUGAGAAUGUUGACAUGAGUAGCGACAAACAGGGUGAGAGACCCUGUCGCCGAAAGUCCAAGGGUUCCUGCUUAAAGCUAAUCUGAGCAGGGUAAGCCGGCCCCUAAGGCGAGGCCGAAAGGCGUAGUCGAUGGGAACCAGGUUAAUAUUCCUGGGCCGUGAGAAGGUGACGGAUUGCGAAGGUUGUUCGAUCUUAUCGGAUUGAUCGGGCCGCUUAGCAGUCCCUGGAAAUAGCCUCUCUAUAAGACCGUACCCGAAACCGACACAGGUGGACUGGUAGAGAAUACCAAGGCGCUUGAGAGAACCACGUUUAAGGAACUCGGCAAAAUGCCUCCGUAAGUUCGCGAGAAGGAGGCCCCAUUUGAACGCAAGUUCAGGUGGGGGGCACAAACUAGGGGGUGGCGACUGUUUACUUAAAACACAGGGCUGUGCGAAGCCGUAAGGCGACGUAUACAGUCUGACGCCUGCCCGGUGCCGGAAGGUUAAAAGGAGGAGUGCAAGCUCCGAAUUGAAGCCCCGGUAAACGGCGGCCGUAACUAUAACGGUCCUAAGGUAGCGAAAUUCCUUGUCGGGUAAGUUCCGACCUGCACGAAUGGCGUAACGAUCUCCCCGCUGUCUCAAACGUGGACUCAGCGAAAUUGAACUGUGUGUCAAGAUGCACACUACCCGCGGUUAGACGGAAAGACCCCAUGAACCUUUACUACAGCUUCGCACUGGCAUCAGGAUUGCGAUGUGCAGGAUAGGUGGUAGGCUUUGAAGCCAGAACGCAAGUUUUGGUGGAGCCAUCCUUGAGAUACCACCCUUUGCACUCUUGAUGUCUAACCGCGGUCCGUUAUCCGGAUCCGGGACCCUGCGUGGUGGGUAGUUUGACUGGGGCGGUCGCCUCCCAAAGAGUAACGGAGGCGCGCGAAGGUUGGCUCAGACCGGUCGGAAAUCGGUCGUUGAGUGCAAUGGCAGAAGCCAGCCUGACUGCAAGACUGACAAGUCGAGCAGAGACGAAAGUCGGCCAUAGUGAUCCGGUGGUCCCGAGUGGAAGGGCCAUCGCUCAACGGAUAAAAGGUACUCUGGGGAUAACAGGCUGAUGGUGCCCAAGAGUCCAUAUCGACGGCACCGUUUGGCACCUCGAUGUCGGCUCAUCUCAUCCUGGGGCUGGAGCAGGUCCCAAGGGUACGGCUGUUCGCCGUUUAAAGAGGUACGUGAGCUGGGUUUAGAACGUCGUGAGACAGUUCGGUCCCUAUCUGCCGUGGGUGUAGGAUACUUGAGAAGAGUUGCCCCUAGUACGAGAGGACCGGGGUGAACGGACCACUGGUGGACCAGUUAUCGUGCCAACGGUAGUGCUGGGUAGCUAUGUCCGGACAGGAUAACCGCUGAAAGCAUCUAAGCGGGAAGCCCCCUUCAAAACUAGGUAUCCCUUGAGGGCCGUGGUAGACCACCACGUCGAUAGGCCAGAGAUGUAAGCGCAGCAAUGCGUUCAGUUGACUGGUACUAAUUGCCCGAUUGGCUUGAUUUG
rfam:Thioclava sp. SK-1 scaffold113_cov6771_read209, whole genome shotgun sequence.